AGAGUUUGAUCCUGGCUCAGAUUGAACGCUGGCGGCAGGCCUAACACAUGCAAGUCGAGCGGAUGAAGGGAGCUUGCUCCCUGAUUUAGCGGCGGACGGGUGAGUAAUGCCUAGGAAUCUGCCUGGUAGUGGGGGAUAACGUUCCGAAAGGAACGCUAAUACCGCAUACGUCCUACGGGAGAAAGCAGGGGACCUUCGGGCCUUGCGCUAUCAGAUGAGCCUAGGUCGGAUUAGCUAGUUGGUGAGGUAAUGGCUCACCAAGGCGACGAUCCGUAACUGGUCUGAGAGGAUGAUCAGUCACACUGGAACUGAGACACGGUCCAGACUCCUACGGGAGGCAGCAGUGGGGAAUAUUGGACAAUGGGCGAAAGCCUGAUCCAGCCAUGCCGCGUGUGUGAAGAAGGUCUUCGGAUUGUAAAGCACUUUAAGUUGGGAGGAAGGGCAUUAACCUAAUACGUUAGUGUUUUGACGUUACCGACAGAAUAAGCACCGGCUAACUUCGUGCCAGCAGCCGCGGUAAUACGAAGGGUGCAAGCGUUAAUCGGAAUUACUGGGCGUAAAGCGCGCGUAGGUGGUUCGUUAAGUUGGAUGUGAAAGCCCCGGGCUCAACCUGGGAACUGCAUCCAAAACUGGCGAGCUAGAGUACGGUAGAGGGUGGUGGAAUUUCCUGUGUAGCGGUGAAAUGCGUAG
rnacentral:rRNA from 1 species